GGAGAGGAAGAUAGGGGGUGGGGGCAAAGAGAGAGGACAGAAGCAGGUAUGGGGUAGUGGAUAAGGUGGAUGGGACGACAGGGUACUAAAGGUUGGGAGCUCCUUUAGUCCCGGUUGGGAGCUCCAAUCGGUACUAAAAGUCACCCAUUAGUACCGGGUGGAGCCUUAGUACCGGUACUAAAGGAGGUCACGGGGGAUCCUGGGGAACUAGUUGUUAGACCUGGUACUAAUGCUUACAUUAGUACCGGGUCAAAAACCAACCGGUACUAAGGGCUAGGACCAAUGCUCAGUUUUCCAGUAGUGUGAGGUAGUUGUUUCGCAACACAACGAUAUUUUUCUCCCUUCUCCC
rnacentral:lncRNA from 1 species